GGGGAUGUAGCUCAGUGGUAGAGCACUUGCCUAGCAAGCUCAAGACCCUGGGUUCGGUCCCCAGCUCCA
rnacentral:tRNA from 1 species